rnacentral:rRNA from 1 species
GACGAACGCUGGCGGCGUGCUUAACACAUGCAAGUCGAACGGAAAGGCCAUGCUCUUGUGGGGUGGUUGAGUGGCGCACGGGUGAGUAAAACGCGUGUAACAUGUCCCUGACUUUGGGAUAACUUUAGGAAAAAGGGGAUCUUAUCGGAUAGGAGAUCUUGAUGCACGGUGGGGGUUGGUAAGUUUCGGCUGUUGGGGAUGGACUAGAGGGUUAUCAGCUUGUUGGUGGGGUAGUGGAGUACCAAGGCUGUGAAGGGUAGCCGGCAUGAGAGGGUGACCGGCCACAUUGCUACUGAGGGACGGCCCAGUCGCCUACGGUACGCAGCAGUGGGGAAUAUUGCACAGUGGGCGGAAGCCUGAUGCAGCAACGCCGCGUGCGUGAUGACGGCCUACGGGUUGUAAACCGCUUUCGCCGGUGACGAAGCGUGAGUGACGGUAAUUGGUAAAAAAGCACCGGCUAACUACGUG